rnacentral:rRNA from 1 species
AUUGAACGCUGGCGGCAUGCCUUACACAUGCAAGUCGAACGGCAGCACGGGAGCAAUCCUGGUGGCGAGUGGCGAACGGGUGAGUAAUAUAUCGGAACGUGCCCAGUAGUGGGGGAUAGCCCGGCGAAAGCCGGAUUAAUACUGCAUGAGACCUGAGGGUGAAAGCGGGGGAUCGCAAGACCUCGCGCUACUGGAGCGGCCGAUAUCAGAUUAGCUAGUUGGUGGGGUAAAGGCCUACCAAGGCAACGAUCUGUAGUUGGUCUGAGAGGACGACCAGCCACACUGGGACUGAGACACGGCCCAGACUCCUACGGGAGGCAGCAGUGGGGAAUUUUGGACAAUGGGCGCAAGCCUGAUCCAGCAAUGCCGCGUGCAGG